AGUACCAUUAAAUUUUAGAACACCCGUAGAAUGGUUUGAAUUACAAAGCGUAAUUUAAAUAUCAUAUUUUUAUUUUAUCAUUAAUCUCAAUUUGUUUUUAAAACACGAGUGAAGUACCGAAGAGACUGUUUCUAGAUAAAUAUACGCUGAAUAAUCGCUGAUACAGCUUCGUAUACCAGUCUUGACCUUCAGUAUAAACGUACUGCUUAUCUUAGAGUGACUAAUUUUUUAUAAAUUGCAAGUGAAUAUCACGUCAUGUUAGUGUUAGAUAAUGGGGUGAGAGGAGUUUGAAUACUUGAAACAAUCGGUCGAAGGGGAAUGUCAGGAUUGUGGAGUUUUGGUAAACCUGGUAAAGCUUUUAAUUUCCUCGGUAAAAUUUCAAGGAGUGGGCAGAUUGAGGCCUUGGGAUCAACCAGGAAAAAGGGGUGAUUCGUUGCGUAGAUUGGGCAGAUUGACACCACGGAAUCGGAUCACUUCUUACCAAUGAUCGACUACCCUAUCCGCAGCCUUCUCUGGAUAAUGGCUCCAAAGUGGGAGCCGAAACGUCGGGGUGUGAAUAAACGGUGUAUUAGAAAAUUGGAGUAAUUAUAAUUGGAACAGUUGUAAUCAGCUUUUAUGGUGAUUGUGAAAACAACCCACUAAUCUUUAACAAAAUAUUUUAAUAAAGACUUGAAGAAAAGUCGAAACGUCAAAUUUUAUCUUUCUUUCAAAAAUUAUUUGAAAAAACUAAUUUUAAAACAAAAGAAACAUAAAAUCAAGAACAUUUAGGAGCAUUUAUACCUAAAUUUCUUAUAUCUAAGACCUUUUGCUUUUAAGUUUUUUCUGCUUUAAAAUUAUUUUUUUCUAAUAAUUUUUGAAAGACAGAUAAAAAUUGACGUUUCGACUUAUUUCAGUCUCUAUCAAAAUAUGGUAUUGACACUGACAAUUUGCGUAUUCAUAUUAAUCAAUAGAUCACGAUCACCUACAUGAAAUAAACAUCAUAAUAAGAAGAAAAUCAAAAUAAAAA